rnacentral:rRNA from 1 species
ACAGCCAGGAGGUUGGCUUAGAAGCAGCCAUCCUUUAAAGAAAGCGUAAUAGCUCACUGGUCGAGUCGGUCUGCGCGGAAGAUGUAACGGGGCUAAACUAUGCACCGAAGCUGCGGAUUUGAGCAUACCACCCAAGCUAUUUUGAUUAACGUUGACAGCGCGAAGCGCCCAACGUUCAAGCGUCACCCGAACGUGAGUCGGUGAUGAUAAAGAUAGUUUCGGGGUAUGCUCAAGUGGUAGGGGAGCGUUCUGUAAGCCGUUGAAGGUGUGCCGGGAGGCAUGCUGGAGGUAUCAGAAGUGCGAAUGCUGACAUGAGUAACGAUAAUGCGGGUGAAAAACCCGCACGCCGGAAGACCAAGGGUUCCUAUCCCAUGUUAAUCAGGGUAGGGUAAGUCGACCCCUAAGGCGAGGCCGAAAGGCGUAGUCGAUGGGAAACGGAUUAAUAUUUCCGUACUUGGUAUAAUUGCGAUGGGGGGACGGAGCAGGCUAAGCAAGCAUGGCGUUGGUAGUCCAUGUGAAAGUGAGUAGGCUAGCGACUUAGGUAAAUCCGGGUUGCUGUUAGGCUGAGACACGAGACGAGUCACUAAGGUGAUGAAGUUGCUGAUGCCAUACUUCCAGGAAAAGCCUCUAAGCUUCAGAUUAUACCGAAUCGUACCCCAAACCGACACAGGUGGUCAGGUAG